rnacentral:rRNA from 1 species
GGGUAGAGUAAUGCGUGACCAACCUGCCCCAUGCUCCAGAAUAGCUCUUGGAAACGGGUGGUAAUGCUGGAUGCUCCAACUUGACGCAUGUCUUGUUGGGAAAGUGUUUAGUGGCAUGGGAUGGGGUCGCGUCCUAUCAGCUUGUAGGCGGGGUAAUGGCCCACCUAGGCUUCGACGGGUAGCCGGCCUGAGAGGGCGGACGGCCACAUUGGGACUGAGAUACGGCCCAGACUCCUACGGGAGGCAGCAGGA